AGAGUUUGAUCCUGGCUCAGAAUGAACGCUAGCGGCGUGUUUAAGACAUGCAAGUUGAACGAAAAGUGAUUUAGUUUACUAAUGAUCUUUUAGUGGCGGACGGGUUAGUAACGCGUGAGCUACCUACCAUAAAGUGGAGGACAGUCCUGGGAAAUUGGGUUUAAUACCGCAUAAGCUCUACGGAGUAAAGUGGCCUUCGGGUCACGCUUUAAGAUGGGCUCGCGUCCUAUCAGCUUGUUGGUGAGGUAAAGGCUCACCAAGGCGACGACGGAUAGCUGGUCUUAGAGGAUGAUCAGUCACACUGGAACUGAGACACGGUCCAGACACCUACGGGUGGCAGCAGUCGAGAAUCAUUCACAAUGGACGCAAGUCUGAUGGUGCAACGCCGCGUGGAGGAUGAAGGCCCUAGGGUCGUAAACUCCUGUCAUAGUAGAGUAAGGCAUAUUAGUUAAUAGCUAGUAUGUUUGAUAGUAUACUAAGAGGAAGGGACGGCUAACUUCGUGCCAGCAGCCGCGGUAAUACGAAGGUCCCGAGCGUUAUUCGGAAUCACUGGGCGUAAAGGGAGCGUAGGCGGCGCGGUAAGUCAGAUGUGAAAUCUCAGAGCUCAACUCUGAAACUGCAUCCGAUACUGCCGUGCUAGAGUAAUGGAGGGGUAACUGGAAUUCUCGGUGUAGCAGUGAAAUGCGUAGAUAUCGAGAGGAAGACCAACGGCGAAGGCAGGUUACUGGACAUUUACUGACGCUGAGGCUCGAAGGCUAGGGUAGCGAAAGGGAUUAGAUACCCCUGUAGUCCUAGCAGUAAACGAUGUGCGCUUGGUGUGGGAAGGUUCGACCCUUUCCGUGCCGGAGCUAACGCGUUAAGCGCACCGCCUGGGGAGUACGGUCGCAAGACUAAAACUCAAAGAAAUUGACGGGGGACC
rnacentral:rRNA from 1 species